AGCGAAGCACCUUGACGGAUUUCUUCGGAUUGAAGCCUUGGUGACUGAGCGGCGGACGGGUGAGUAACGCGUGGGUAACCUGCCUCAUACAGGGGGAUAACAGUUGGAAACGGCUGCUAAUACCGCAUAAGCGCACAGUACCGCAUGGUACGGUGUGAAAAACUCCGGUGGUAUGAGAUGGACCCGCGUCUGAUUAGGUAGUUGGUGGGGUAACGGCCUACCAAGCCGACGAUCAGUAGCCGACCUGAGAGGGUGACCGGCCACAUUGGGACUGAGACACGGCCCAAACUCCUACGGGAGGCAGCAGUGGGGAAUAUUGCACAAUGGGGGAAACCCUGAUGCAGCGACGCCGCGUGAGCGAUGAAGUAUUUCGGUAUGUAAAGCUCUAUCAGCAGGGAAGAAAAUGACGGUACCUGACUAAGAAGCCCCGGCUAACUACGUGCCAGCAGCCGCGGUAAUACGUAGGGGGCAAGCGUUAUCCGGAUUUACUGGGUGUAAAGGGAGCGUAGACGGCAUGGCAAGCCAGAUGUGAAAGCCCGGGGCUCAACCCCGGGACUGCAUUUGGAACUGUCAGGCUAGAGUGUCGGAGAGGAAAGCGGAAUUCCUAGUGUAGCGGUGAAAUGCGUAGAUAUUAGGAGGAACACCAGUGGCGAAGGCGGCUUUCUGGACGAUGACUGACGUUGA
rnacentral:rRNA from 1 species